UUGAAAUUUCGCGUAGGUACUUACAUAGAGUUAGUAUGGACAAAGAUAUGGUCGUACCUUUUAUUAUUGAAAAAGAAACUCUCGAGAGUUCUACACGCGGGUGAAGCCACAAAAGUUCUGUUUCUCGUUUUAUGAUUAAAAAAAUAUAAAUUUAUACAUAAUUAUUGUAACCAAUAAAACAGGUUCUCUUUAUCGGGUAUCAUAAAAUAUUAAUCUCUACUCUUAUAGAUAAUACUUGACCAAUAGAUAAUAUGAGUAGGUAAUAUAACAGUUUCAAGACUAACACUAACAACAACUGACAUUUAUUCAGUUAAGUUCUAGUUAAAGGAUACAUUUGGACUGUUACUCCCUUAUAAUAUGUAUUAUUUUUACGAGUGUCAGUGCAUAAAGUUUCAGAUAGUAUCUAUUCUACUCUAAUUGGGUAUAGAUAAGUGUUUAUCUUAAUGGAAUAUUAAAAUUACAUAUACGUAAAGCUUCCUGAUGACUCAAAAUAACAAUAUAAUCUAGAAGAAGGAAUCGAUAUUAUAAUCUAUUUCGAGAACUAAAUAAAAGAGAAAUGUGUAUUUAAGUACUCGAUAGCUACAAAUUUAAGAUUCUGGAAAAAAAAUAUAGAAGCGAGUUUUAUCGAUAAAAAAUUUCACAACAAAACAACAUUACAAAAUCCAAAUACACGAAUAAGGAAUCAUCACAUCUCAAGGACUAAAUGAGAAAUAUAUAAUACAAAGUCUACAAAUAGAAGAUUCGGAAAUAAAUUAUUAAAGCGAGUUUUAUGGAUAAAACAUUUCACAACAAAAAAUAUCAUGAAUUUAGAAUGGUACUAUUUGCCUAUACUUGCCCUUUUAGCAAUAUUUGUUUUAGUGAUCUUAGGAUACGGAGCAUAUCGCCUGGGGAAACGGAAAGCUAUCAAGGAAGUACCUGUGUUUGAUUUUGAUGACACGAAACCUACGAUAACUAUACCUCGUGUAAAAGGUGUUCAUAAUAUGGACUCUGUGUCCGAGAAGAAUUUUUAAAUAACAGCAUUUUCAAGAGUUAUGUUUCAAGGGACAUCUUCAAGGCUCUUGAGGUCUACCAUGGAUCAUAGUGUCCUCUCUUUUUUUAGACGUUGCGUGAAAGAUGUGGGAAAAAGUUACAUGUGGACGGCAUAGUAACUACGUGUUUGUGUUUCGUGGUAGGGCCUCUGCACGCAUUGUACAAUAAUAGUCUCAGAAGAUAAACAGGAAUUGUAACUGUAGUUGACAGGUUUGCCUGAUGUCAACCCUCUUUGGGAAUAUGAUUGUUGCCUAUCAGCUGUCCAGGCUAAUUGCUCUUUGACAAUUAUCCACGGGAGGAUAUGGAAUGGUCCUAUUUUAGGGCGAGGCUACAUUGAUGACGAUUUAUUUGUAAAUAAUAUUUCAUUAGGGAUAUAUUAUGUUUAAUAUUUAGGUUAUAAAAAGUCAGUCCACAAUUCUGAACAACUUUUAGUAUGGGAGUAACACACAAUCGUGAAAAAAAAAUCAGAUGUUCUAUACAAAAUUAAAUUAAUAAAAAUGUAUGGAUCAGCUGAUUUUUUUUUCGCGAUUUCAAGAUUGUUUCCAUACGAUGAAAAGUUGUUCAGUACCAUCCACUGAGCUUGUAGAUUUAAUGCCGAUAUAUAAGAAAUCAACCUGUAUACUAUUUAUAACUGUAAAUUGAAUAACAUAACUAUUUGCAUUGAAUUUUUAGCAGCUGUGUUCUGUCCAAUUUUGACAUCCAUAUUAUUAUUUAAUUCGAAAGUCUGUCUGUCUGGCUGGGUCGAUUUUGAUAAAAUUUGGACUUAUUUAGAUGGCAAUGAGAAAACAGACAAAAUGUAUCUCUAUAAAGAAAUCAUGAUUUGAAAUAAACAAUUUGAGAAACGAAGCCAAUAUAGUAUUUAUUUGUAAAGAAACUUAAGGCGAUUAUUCCCUGCACACUAGCGCCACAUCACAUUUGUAUUUGUUUCUUUUAUUUCUUAGCGAAAAUAUAUUUUAACAGAUUAUGCAACACUACAAAAAUAAUUUUAGUAUAUCGUUUUCUAUAAUAAAAUGUGGUAACAGUAGGCUUAAAGAAAUUUAGUGUCCACUGAUUUCGAUUUAGUCAACUCGGACUGCAUUAUACAAUGGAAAACUAUAACUGUACUAAAAUUCUUUAUCUAGUGUAGCAUAAUCUCUUAAAACAUUAUUUAAAUUUUUGAAAAAUAUAAGAAAUUAAUGAAAGUAUAAAGUGGCGCUAUUAUAGUUUGCUGGGAGUAAUCGCCUUAACAUAAUACUUCACAUUUUUUGUUACCUGUAUUGUAUAUAAAUAAAAUCCUUGCCUUUC